AACGAAGUGAAUUGAAAUAUCUUAGUAACUUUAGGAAAAAAAAUCAAACGAGAUUGUUAUUUGGUGCAAAUUAAAUAACAAGAGCCUAUUAACAAAACUUGUUAAAGUAAAAUGGAUUAAAAUCUGUUUGAAUAUAGGGGAACCUUCCUCUAAGGCUAAAUAUGAUAUAUAAGCGAUAGUGAAAAGUACCGUGAGGUAAUAAUUUGAAAUAGUAGUUUUAUAAGCAGCUCGAGUGAAAAUUUAAAUAAAUAAUAAGAGUGUACCUUUUGCAUAAUGGGUCAGCAAGUUAAUUUUAGAUGCAAGCUAUUUUGUGCGUUACACAUGAUACUAGCACAUGUAACUAGCUUAGAUAAACCAAUUAUGAGAAAAUGAAUAAGUAUCUAGAAUUAGACCCGAAGGCUAGUGAUCUUACCAUGGUCAGGGUUAUAAAAGCCCGAACGGGUUAUCGUUGUAUAGAUAUCCGAAGAAUUGUGGUAAGUUAGUGAAAGACAAAACUGACUAGUAUAGCUGGUUUUCCGCGAAACCUAUAUGAGUAGGUAAUUUAACUAACAUCUUAGCAGGUACAGAACUGUGAUCUCGGACAAUAUCUUUUAUAUUUUGAUUUUUGUUAACAUCGGGGGGUUGUAGUGACUUUACCGGAGAGUAUUUGCACUCGGAAUGGCAAAGAUGAAUGUUGAAUAAUCAGACAUAGUGCGAUAAGGUUGUAUGUCUAAAGGGAAACAGCCCAGAACAAGAGUUAAGGUUCCAAAAUUAUUGUUGAGUGAAAUUAAGGAUGUUUUUUUUAAAAACAAUCAGGAAAUAGGCUUAGAAGCGGCCAUUUUUUGAAGACCUCGUAACAGAGCACUGAUUAAAAAUUUUAGAAAAAAACACCAAAAAUUUAACGGAUCUAAACAAUAUACCGAAACCUUGUACACAUAUUUAUAAUAAUAUUAUUGUAUAUGUGGGGUAGCGGAACAUUGGAUAAUAUAUUUUUAUAUAUUUCUUCUAGGAAAUAAUAAAUGAUUGAGCCCUAUGACAUUAGGGCUCACCAAAAAAUCAAAUAAAAUCCAAGAGAGAAUGCUGACAUGAGUAACGAAAAAGGAAUAUAACCUCGCCUUAAGCUUAUGGUAUUAUAAUUAAUUUUCGGUAUCUAAAUAUAUUAAUCAAAAGGUAAUUUUGAUGAUAUUUAUAUAUUAAUACUUAUAAGUAAAAAAAAAACAAAACCUUUAAAAAGUUUUAAAGGUUCUGGAAAAAUUUUUUUAUUUAAAAAAAUUUUUAAGAUGAAGUAUAUUAAAGAAAAUAUUGUGUUUUUUACAAUAUAGGUAUGUUGUACCUACAUCUCUAAAGAUGAUAUGUAGAACAUAUACUCUAUAUAAUUAUUGUUAUAAGUUUUCAAGAUUAUAUAGUUUUAAUUUUAGAUAUUUAUAUUAUUAUAUUGUUUAUAGUAAUAGUAAGGUUUAUAUAUACCGUACCUAGAUACUAUCACAAGUAAGCAAGUAGAGAAUACAAAGGCGUUUGAGUGAACAAUCAUUAAGGAACUCGGCAAAUUGACUACCGUAACUUCGGGAUAAGGAGGGCCAUUCUGAUUAGUUUAACAUAUCUUAUGAUAUGAUUUAAUUAAACUAAACAUAAGAGGAAACAUGAAAUAAUGUUGUACGACUGUUUAAUAAAAACACAGCACUCUGCAAAGAUAAAAUAUCAAAGUAUUGAGUGUGAUGUCUGCCCAAUGUCGGCUGGAUAACGGAUUUACCUUUGUAUUUAACUGAGGUUUUGAAGGAUACCCCGAUUAAUGGCGGCCUUACCUAUGAGGGUCCUAAGGUAGCUAAAUACCUUGGCCGUUAAAUGCGGUCCUGCAUGAAUGAUUUAACGAUACAACAGCUGUCUCGAUGAUUGUCUCAGUGAAAUUGGAAUAGCAGUGCAGAUACUGUUUACCUCUAGAUAGACGAGAAGACCCUAUGCAGCUUUACUGUUACUAAUUGCAAGAGUGAAAAUUUAGGAUGAUUUCGAGUGUAUAAGGUAGUUGUUAGAUAAUAAUGAAACACCUUUAUUUGUUUCCUACUAUAUGCUCUUGAGGAUUGGGAGGCAGUUUAUGCGGGGCACAGAUCCCACAAAAAGUACCUGGGUAUAUCCAAAGUUCAUUUUGUAAAUUUGUAAAUUUCUUUACAAAUAUUUUAAUUUGUUAUAAUUAUAUUUAUAAUUAUACAGUUAUUGUUAGAUUAAGUUCAAUAUUUAUUUUUAAUUUAAGUAAGAUUUUAACUAUAUGGUGAAUAGAUGUAUUUUAAACUUUACUCGGAGUGAUCGGGAUAUUUAAAAGUUUUUUCUCAUAUUAAUAUUGUAUAUAAUCUUUAUUGAUAUGAUAAUUAAUUAUACUUUAAAAGUUUAAUGGCUAAAUCUUGCUUUACUGUUUGACCUACAAGUCUAUCAGUCGCGUAAGCGGGGCAUAUGAUCACAAGAUGCAUAAAGGAAAGGUCUUGGAUUAUAGAAAAAGUUACGCUAGGGAUAACAGGCUAAUUUGCGCAAGAGAGUACAAAUUGAGUGCGCGGUUUGGCACCUCGAUGUCGGCUUAGCUCAUCCACAUGAAUGCAAAAAUCAUGAAGGGUUCGACUGUUCGUCGAUUAAAGAGCUACAUGAGCUGGGUUUAAUACGUCGUGAGACAGUAUGGUUUCUAUCUUCUAGAGGGAAUUAAAGUAGAAUAAAGAUAGCCCCUUCGUACGAAAGGAGUUGGGUAUAUUGACCUAUGGUUUACCUGUUGUUUAUGCUAUAUAAACAUUAUAAUAUUUUAUAAACCUAUGGUUUAUAUGUUGUUGUUAAUACUGUAUAUUUUAAUGAAUAUAUCAUAUUACUUAUACUUAAGUAAAUUGUUCACAUAGGCAUGGCAGGAAGGCUACGUCAGUUAAAGAUAAGUGCUGAAAGCAUUUAAGCGCGAAGCUUACUUUAGGAUACUUUAAAACGUAGUAGAACACUACGA
rnacentral:rRNA from 1 species